rnacentral:rRNA from 1 species
GACGAACGCUGGCGGCGGGCUUAACACAUGCAAGUCGAACGGAAAGGCCCUGCUUUUGUGGGGUGCUCGAGUGGCGAACGGGUGAGUAACACGUGAGUAACCUGCCCUUGACUUUGGGAUAACUUCAGGAAACUGGGGCUAAUACCGGAUAGGAGCUCCUGCUGCAUGGGGGGGGUUGGAAAGUUUCGGCGGUUGGGGAUGGACUCGCGGCUUAUCAGCUUGUUGGCGGGGUAGUGGCUUACCAAGGCUUUGACGGGUAGCCGGCCUGGGAGGGUGACCGGCCACAUUGGGACUGAGAUACGGCCCAGACUCCUACGGGAGGCAGCAGUGGGGAAUAUUGCACAAUGGGCGGAAGCCUGAUGCAGCAACGCCGCGUGCGGGAUGACGGCCUUCGGGUUGUAAACCGCUUUCGCCUGUGACGAAGCGUGAGUGACGGUAAUGGGUAAAGAAGCACCGGCUAACUACGUG